rnacentral:tRNA from 1 species
GGGAACAUAGCUCAGUUGGUAGAGCAACGGAUUGAAGCUCCGUGUGUCGUAGGUUCGAUUCCUGCUGUUCCCG